rnacentral:rRNA from 1 species
GAUGAACGCUGGCGGCGUGCCUAAUACAUGCAAGUCGAGCGAACGGACGAGAAGCUUGCUUCUCUGAUGUUAGCGGCGGACGGGUGAGUAACACGUGGAUAACCUACCUAUAAGACUGGGAUAACUUCGGGAAACCGUAGCUAAUACCGGAUAAUAUUUUGAACCGCAUGGUUCAAAAGUGAAAGACGGUCUUGCUGUCACUUAUAGAUGGAUCCGCGCUGCAUUAGCUAGUUGGUAAGGUAACGGCUUACCAAGGCAACGAUGCAUAGCCGACCUGAGAGGGGAUUCGGCCACACGAGACCUAGGAACCGGUCCAAACCCCUCAGGGAGGAGACAUGAGGAAAUCUUCCCAACAGGGCAAAAACCUGACGGAUCAACCCCGCGGGGGUGAAGAAGUUUUGCGGAUCUUAAAACCCUGUUAUUGGGGAAGAAAAUAUGUUGAAGAAACGGGCCAAAUCUUGGGGGUACCAAAACAGAAAACCCCGGCUAACUACGU